AAGUCGUAACAAGGUUUCCGUAGGUGAACCUGCGGAAGGAUCAUUAUUACGUAUCCAACGUAUAAACCAAUGUGAACUGUCUCCGCUCAGAGUAGGGUCAAUGGCACGUCGCGUUAAGGUCUCACUGUUAGUGAUGGGACUGCGGCGUGUCUCUGCUAGAGCUUUCGGGCUCUGUGUGGGACCUUGCUUUGAAGCUGGUAUUCUCACUAACUUUAACUUUAUUAACCCAUUGCACUAUGCAUUGAACUAACUAUGUUUCGCGCUUUGUGGGUCCUUCGGGGCUAGCGGGCUCGAAAUCUAUUUACGUAACUUGAACAACUCUUAGCAACGGAUAUCUUGGCUCUC
rnacentral:misc_RNA from 1 species